AACUAAUGUAGGUAAAAGUUUGUUAUUUCCGAUGCAACAAUCAGUUCAAAUUCAAAUGUUGUUAAUAAAUGUUGUUCCAUUUCCUAUGUGAUUUACAUCAUUCACUUUCUCUCUCUCCCUCUCUCAUUCUCCUAACAAGCUUCUUCCUCUACCUCCGGUCUUCUCUCUCAUUUUCCAUUUUCUCUCUCAAUCACUGUUCUUCUCCUCUCUCAAUUGCUGCUUUUCUUCAUCCUCAUCGCCUCCAGUUUCGGCCACCCCACCAGAAACCACCGCGCGAGUGAGAGUGAACAUACCCUGAAGAGAAUCUCGCAUCAAAUCUGGAUAUCGAUAUCAUCUGCAUCUCGAUCUGUUGGUUUCUACGACACGCUCCGUUGCGGUUAGGAACGGUGGGCUGAUUUUUUCCGACCCAGCAUUGGCAAAAUGUUCAUGGAAACAACAACAACCACUUGAUGUGUCGGGAUAAGUUACAAAGGUUGCCAUGAAAGAUGAAGGCAAGGGUGAGGAUGAACACAACUUUGGUUACUUUUAUUCAAAUUAUUUCAUUUACAUUUUUAUUGUCUAGAAGCUUUUUUUCCGUAUAUUGUUUAAGGUAAAAAUGUGCGUAGAUUUAGCUUUCAAUUGAGCUUUUCUUUCUCUGAUUUUCUUACAUGAUUUAGUUGUUUUUGCUUUGGCUGGUUUUGCUUUCAUGAAAGAUGAAGGCAAGGGUGAGGAUGAACACAACUUUGGUUACUUUUAUUCAAAUUAUUUCAUUUACAUUUUUAUUGUCUAGAAGCUUUUUUUCCGUAUAUUGUUUAAGGUAAAAAUGUGCGUAGAUUUAGCUUUCAAUUGAGCUUUUCUUUCUCUGAUUUUCUUACAUGAUUUAGUUGUUUUUGCUUUGGCUGGUUUUGCUUUCAUUGACUUACGAUUCUUCUGUUAUCUCUAAUGUAGAUACUUAACUGAGAAAAACUAAUCUCUCCUUUCCGGUGAAUAUUGAAAUAACCCAUAUCCUAAUAAAAAAAAUUCUUUUUUUAUCUUUGCAAAUGCAUUAUCUUUACUCUAUUUUCCUUCACACGCACUUUUUUUUUUAUAAUAGUGUUGCUUCACAUAUAUUAUAACUUAUUUCAGUACAUCAUUAAUUGCCUUCUUUUGUAAAUCAUACAAGUCAUUUAUUUUUUUUCUGCUUUUGUUUAGCUCUGCCACAUUCUAUAAGGGUGAACUGCAUUAUAGUUAGUCGUUGAAUGAUGUUUUGCAGGGACAGAUUCAGUUUUCUUAAUGUCUUGAUGUGCCACUAACUUUUUAUAGUGCCACUAAUGCAACCAUGUCAAUAAUGAGUGUUUUGUAAAUGCCCAUAUGUAUAGUGACAGAUUCAGUUUGCUUAAUGUCUUGAUUUGCAGUGUGAUUUACUCUUUUGAUUUUCACAAGUUCAAAUGUGAAAAAUAACUGUUUGAAAAUUGUUGUUUAUGAUAGGUCAAACCUUUUGAGCCCUUUUCGAUGGUUUAAAUUCCUGUGGUUGUUUUGCUAUAGAUAAUAUUUCACAUCUCUUUUGGCCUUAUAGAUUUUAAUUAUAUUAUGGUACAAUCUUGAAAUAUUUAGUGAAAGACAAAGUAUAACUUUCUUAGUCUUUUCUUCUUUUACUUUGCUUAAAUGUUCAGGGAAGCCUAAUCAAAAGUUUGGGUAGAACAUGAGUUAAAGUUAUAUUGAUCUCAUUAAAUUUUAUUUUUUGCAAUUGUGGUUUAUCACCUAAAAAAGUCAGAGUUGAAUAUGAUAAUAAAUGUGCCUCUACUGUUAUGGUUGUUGAAGGAAAAUUAGUUUGUCGAAAAUGCAAAAUAAACCGCAAUGCAAUGAUAGGUAUGGUUUUCAUGUGAUGAUUGUAAUACUUGAGUUUGCUAACAAUGCUCAAUGUUUUCUUUCUGCUACUGUCUAGGACCAGAAAGAACUUUUACUCAUAUAUAUCCUACUGUACUGAACAACAGCUCACCAUGACACAAGGUCUGCAACAUUAUUUUGUCCAUAUGAAAUUGAGUUUUUAUGUAUCCAAUUGUACUGGACAAUGGUGUUUUCUUCAUCGUCAAAAAAAAAAAUGGUGUUUUCUUCAUAAAGGUAAAGAAUACGUCAUAGGCUUCUUUGUUGACAACUGGACAAGGGGUAAUUUGCAGCGGAAAAAUGUUACACGCCCGGUUACAUGUCCAAUAUGUGACAAGUAGGAAAAAUAUGAAUGUCAUGUGUUCUUUGGCUUCUUUGGCUGCCAAUACGCCCGGUUACAUGUCCUAAAUUUCAUUCCUUCUAAAUUUGAAUUGAUUUCCGACUCUUUAUUUGAUAGAUAUUUAAGUAUUUGAGUUCUCUUGAGGUUGAAGAUAAUAAGGAUGUCAAAUAGUGGGGUUUCACCCAUCAGUGUCGGAAUGGUAACGAAGUAUGUUUGAUUGCAAGUUGAAGAAUUCAGGUGGUGGUUGCGGUUAUGAAAACAGACCAGUGUCUCUUCUGCUGCUAUCAUCUAUAUUUGAGUUUUUUUUUUUAGCUUUUAUUUGUUACAACUAUUGUUUUGUGUGUGAUUCACUGAGGAAUUGAAUAACUUCGAAUUAUGUAGUCCAUAGGAAAGAAACUAAUAGAAGAUAUGUGUUGCGAUUGUUAAUCUUUUAUUGUUUAUUUGAUAAAAUUUUGUCCACACAUUUUGCAGA